rnacentral:lncRNA from 1 species
ACAGGAAAAGGUCGCCACCCACACUGCUAAAUAUCGGUUUAGGUGGAUCAAAGGCAGGUUUUGAUAGCAACAACAGAGGGAUAAGAGGAAAAAAAGGGAGGAGGAGGGAGAAGAUAAGAGACAUUUGUGUUGGGCAAUUGCAGAGCACCUUCACUUUGUGGGGGACAACCUUUUACUUCUCAUAUCCAGCUUGCAGAUGAAUCCUCAAAGAACACUGGUGAAGUACCAUCGCCAUCCAAAGUUUCUUUUCUUCGUUCUAUCCCAUUCGAUAAGGAUCUCACUUGCCACUCUCUUCUUUCUCCCCGCAUCUCUUUCGUUUUUCUUGCGUCGACUCCAUCGAUGCGAUAACCGAUCAAUUUAUUUGUUCUUGUUCCUCCUGUACUCGAAAGUAAGUACUUCUUCCUCGCUUGCGCUUUUGAUCACCGGAGAAGCCCUUCCGAUUGGUUCCGCUGCCGGAAUCCAUGCUUUACUGUGACCUUUGUUGGGCACCAAACAAAUGAAUGCAAAGUCUCCAUUGAGCUGCCGUGGGGUUCACCACCUCCACCUAAGUUCCUUUUGCAGCAGGAACAUGGCCAUACGUGGGUCCUCAAGAUCACACAUGCAGUGUGAGGUCUCCGCCAGGGCAUCAAUGACUUUGGAAAGCUAACAGGAACCACUGAGGACAGGAAUAAAGAACAAUCAUGGAGGGCAUGCAAAUCUGGAAGUGGAUGGAAGAAUUUAAAGAAGCUCCGAUCCUAAACAUCAAAAGUUAGGCAAAGCAAUACGAAAAGCUGCAAGAUCUUAGCAGAAUCCAUGCACCUUGGAUCCAACUUAUG